AGGAUUUUGCUCCCUGGCUUCUCCUUUUAGACACCUUCCUUCCCUGCCUUCUUCUCAGGGAGGGGGAAUUUCGACCUGUUCCUUCCCUUUUUAUUAUUAUUACUAUUAUUAUUAUUACUAUUAUUAUUACUAUUAUUUUAAAGCCAGUAGGUUAAAGACUGACGCUGCGGAGCUUUGAUUUCAUUAUUCCUGCGUUAUCUGAUCACUGAGCUCUGAUAUCCGCUCUUCUGCCUGAACAUUCUUAGACCCGAACGGUGCUACAAAAAUACUCCAACAGUGAAUUGUGCCUCGAACGUUUUGUCCCCGGAGAAGGAGGAUCCCUGGCCGGGGCUGCCGAGCUCCCUAUCCAAAGGACGCCUCGGAGAGAAGACGUUCAUUUAACCGGGGGUUGGGGGGGGUUGGGAGUUCCUAUCUAUCCAUUCGUUUAUUUUUGCUAUAGGGAUCUGGCUCUUCCCAUUGCCUUGGAUGCUCGGGGAGUUCUGCUCGCUCUCCUGCCUCCUCAUCUCGCCUGCAGCAAACCCCGCGUUACCCACCCGUCCUUCUUUUCCCUCUCCACUCUGCUUUCGGUUUUUUUUUUUAUUCCCCCUGUAGGCUGUAAAAGAAUUCGAGGCUGGCAGGGGAAGUCAAGAAAAUGGAGCCGUGGCUCAGCUGCCAAAUCCUCCUUCUGUAGCUAAUAAAAAGCCCGGCUUCCCCGGAAAUCUCUCCCUCUUCGCUUUCGCAGAAGUUGCAGCAAAUUGCUCUUUUAUUUGCGGGGGGGAGGAGGCAGUAUAAAUUCCCCACCCCCCCCCCACCCCCCUCCCAUGCCCCCCCACCCCGGCUGUGUGCAUUGCUGCAGUGUAUUUUAUUGCGUGACACAGUUUCGGAGAGGCGCGGGACAAAAACCAACACCCCCUCACCCCCUCAUUAUACGAACCUGCAGGAGAUCCUGCGGCGGGGAUCGGCACCGAGGAAGAUGAUGGGGGGAAAGAAGAGGAAGACGAGGAUGGAGCCUGGGUAGCUUUCUUGGAAGAUUUCUUCUCCUUCAUCCAGGGGAAUUCCGCUGCCAAGGGGCCGGGCUGUGCCGGAGGCUGAGGCUGGAGCAGGCCAUGGGAUGCUCUUUUUUGGCUCCUCGGUCUUGCCUGGCUGCUGGAACAAGGAUUCAGGCUGAGGACGGUUUGCUCAAAAGGAGGAGGAAUUAAUGUCGAGUCCUUGAUUGAUGAAGUUUGAAAUGUCUCCAGGACAGCGGGAAGAGACGUCAGGCACUCUGCGAGCGAAGGCUGGCUAUUUAUAAACCCGAUCUCCCUCUCAAA